rnacentral:rRNA from 1 species
UAAUACGUAGGAGGCGAGCGUUAUCCGGAUUUAUUGGGCGUAAAGCGCGUGCAGGUGGUUUGGUAAGUUGGGUAUGAAAUCUUCUGGCUUAACUAGGAGAGGUUGCUCAAAACUGCCAGACUAGAGGACGAUAGAGGAAGGUGGAAUUCCCGGUGUAGUAGUGAAAUGCGUAGAUAUCGGGAGGAACACCAGUGGCGAAGGCGGCCUUCUGGGUCGUUCCUGACACUAAGACGCGAAAGCAUGGGUAGCAAACGGGAUUAGAAACCCCGGUAGUCCAUGCCGUAAACGAUGUGAACUUGAUGUCGGUGGUGUAAUAAUCAUCGGUGUCGUAGUUAACGCGAUAAGUUCACCGCCUGGGGAGUACGAUCGCAAGGUUA